rnacentral:sRNA from 1 species
AACACGCUGGGCAAUCAAGAAUCCGAUAAUAAAUCUGCGCAAUCCUAUCACACACCUUCAUAGCCUCAAGGUAUUCUUCCCUGUUUACAGGAAUGGGCUUCCCUUCUUUUAUGAACUUAUCUAUAACAAUUUUGGCGCGUAUAUAUUGCUUCUUCCUGUCGUGCAGCAUUUGAUCCAUCUUUCGCCUCAUCUUGUGAAGAUAGACAAUGCUGUGAGUGGUGGACCUGCGGAGAAGAGAAGGGCGAGAUAAGAGAACAAGCAGGGUGAAAGAAGAAAGUUAAGAGUUGAACAGUUGGUGUCCAAGUCCAGGAGGAAACAGCAGCGGCUCCCCGCAGCGGACUCUGAUUGGCGGGAACAACCCUCGAGCUCCAGCUCCGGCGCGCAUCCCAUCCUGGAAGUUAAAUCUCAGGUUAGAAAAGAUGCCGAACCAUGGAUGCAAGCAAGUGCGCAGAUGGCUGCUUGGAUAUACAAUGAACCAAGUACAGGGGAUAGAUCGAAUUUUCGGCGGUGCAUGAUUAGCCAGGAUCGCCAUGAAAUCUACAUUAUAAUCGCUACAUACACCAAAGAAUAUGUGGCGUAUCUUCAAGGGGACUGGGAUGGGUCCUCGGGUCCUUUUCUCACGAUGCAUCAAAUUGGACCAUUCAUUCCCAAUGCAGAGAGACACAUGGAGCGGUUAGGAAGGAUUAUUGCAGCGUUGAGCAGGCAACUGGUACAUCAAGCAA